rnacentral:rRNA from 1 species
GACGAACGCUGGCGGCGUGCCUAAUACAUGCAAGUCGAACGGUUUAGUUCCAAGAGGCUUGCCUUUUGGAACUAGACAGUGGCGGACGGGUGAGUAACACGUAGGCAACCUACCUGUCAAACCGGGAUAACCUCGGGAAACCGAAGCUAAACCCGGAUAAGCUCCUUUUUCGCAUGAAGGGGGAGUGAAAAGGUGCGACCUGAUGACAGAUGGGCCUGCGGCGCAUUAGCUAGUAGGUAGGGUAACGGCCUACCUAGGCGAUGAUGCGUAGCCGACCUGAGAGGGCGUACGGCCACACUGGGACUGAGAUACGGCCCAGACUCCUACGGGAGGCAGCAGUAGGGAAUCUUCGGCAAUGGGCGAAAGCCUGACCGAGCAACGCCGCGUGAGUGAGGAAGGCCUUCGGGUUGUAAAACUCUGUUGUUUGGGAAGAAGGGAAAGGGUAGGACCCUUAGGUGACGGUACCAAACGAGAAGGCCCCGGCUAACUACGUG